rnacentral:rRNA from 1 species
CCUACGGGAGGCAGCAGUGAGGAAUAUUGGUCACUGGGCGCUAGCCUGAACCAGCCACGUAGCGUGAAGGAUGACUGCCCUAUGGGUUGUAAACUUCUUUUAUAUGGGAAUAAAGUGCAGUAUGUAUACUUCUUUGCAUGUACCUUAUGAAUAAGGAUCGGCUAACCCCGUUCCAGCAGCCGCGGGAAUCCGGAGGAUCCGGGCGUUAACCGGAUUUAUUGGGGUUAAAGGGAGCGUAGGCGGGUUGUUAAGUCAGAUGUGAAAGUUUGCGGAUCAACCGUAAAAUUGCAGUUGAUACUGGCAUCCUUGAGUACAGGAGAGGUAGGCGGAAUUCGUGGUGUAGCGGUGAAAUGCUUAGAUAUCACGAAGAACUCCGAUUGCGAAGGCAGCCUGCUGGACUGUAACUGACGCUGAUGCUCGAAAGUGUGGGUAUCAAACAGGAUUAGAUACCCCUGUAGUC